UAUGAACGCUGGCGGCGUGCCUAAUACAUGCAAGUCGAGCGAACGGACGAGAAGCUUGCUUUUCUGAUGUUAGCGGUGGACGGGUGAGUAACACGUGGAUAACCUACCUAUAAGACUGGGAUAACUUCGGGAAACCGGAGCUAAUACCGGAUAAUAUUUUGAACCGCAUGGUUCAAAAGUGAAAGACGGUCUUGCUGUCACUUAUAGAUGGAUCCGCGCUGCAUUAGCUAGUUGGUAAGGUAACGGCUUACCAAGGCAACGAUGCAUAGCCGACCUGAGAGGGUGAUCGGCCACACUGGAACUGAGACACGGUCCAGACUCCUACGGGAGGCAGCAGUAGGGAAUCUUCCGCAAUGGGCGAAAGCCUGACGGAGCAACGCCGCGUGAGUGAUGAAGGUCUUCGGAUCGUAAAACUCUGUUAUUAGGGAAGAACAUAUGUGUAAGUAACUGUGCACAUCUUGACGGUACCUAAUCAGAAAGCCACGGCUAACUACGU
rnacentral:rRNA from 1 species